AGUACAGCAGUUUGUAAGUCGCUCUGGAUAAGAGCGUCUGCUAAAUGACUUAAC
rfam:Salmo salar isolate Sally breed double haploid chromosome ssa02, whole genome shotgun sequence.